UGCCAGCCGCCGCGGUAAGACGAACCGUCCAAACGUUAUUCGGUAUCACUGGGCUUAAAGCGUGCGUAGGCGGCUUGGUAGGUGUGAUGUGAAAGCCCACGGCUCAACCGUGGAAUUGCGUCGCAAACCCCCAAGCUUGAGGAAGACAGGGGUGUUGGGAACUUAUGGUGGAGCGGUGAAAUGCGUUGAUAUCAUAGGGAACACCGGUGGCGAAGGCGCAACACUGGGUCUUUUCUGACGCUGAGGCACGAAAGCUAGGGUAGCGAACGGGAUUAGAUA
rnacentral:rRNA from 1 species